rnacentral:antisense_RNA from 1 species
CUUGAUCGAACCCAGCCACAGCGGACGGUCGGCCUGGUGCUCCUGGCCGUAGGUGGCGAGCAGCGCCUGUGCCUC